GCACCUAUGGAGCAGUAGUUUAGCUUAUUCCCCUCCCACGCCCCGGCGAUCCGGGGAAGGGUAAGGGAAAGACCCGGGUGCGAAUCCCGGUGGGUGCA